rnacentral:tRNA from 13 species
CCGCGGUGGGCGGCAAGGACUUCGAAUCCGCGGAGGGCACGCUU